UCCAGCAGUUAUAUCACCUUGAAACUGACAUCUGGCAGCCCACUGAAUAUAAGCAGGUGUGAGCCUGGUCAGUACCUGGAUGAGAGAUCACCUGGGAAAACUAAAGUUGCUGCUGGAG
rfam:Lepisosteus oculatus linkage group LG7, whole genome shotgun sequence.